UACGGAGGGUGCAAGCGUUGUCCGGAAUCACUGGGCGUAUAGGGCGCGUAGGCGGCUCAUGAAGGCUGUGGUGAAAGUCCGGGGCUCAACCUCGGAUCGGCCGUGGCGACUCGUGGGCUGGAGCACUGUAGAGGCGGGUGGAAUUCCGGGUGUAGCGGUGGAAUGCGUAGAGAUCCGGAAGAACACCAGUGGCGAAGGCGGCCCGCUGGGCCGACCCUGACGCUGAGGCGCGAAGGCGUGGGGAGCGAACGGG
rnacentral:rRNA from 1 species